rnacentral:rRNA from 1 species
UACGUAGGGUGCAGGCGUUAAUCGGAAUUACUGGGCGUAAAGCGUGCGCAGGCGGUCUUUUAAGUCAGAUGUGAAAUCCCCGGGCUUAACCUGGGAACUGCGUUUGAAACUGGAAGGCUAGAGUGUGGCAGAGGGGGGUGGAAUUCCACGUGUAGCAGUGAAAUGCGUAGAUAUGUGGAGGAACACCGAUGGCGAAGGCAGCCCCCUGGGUUAACACUGACGCUCAGGCACGAAAGCGUGGGGAGCAAACAGG